GGGAAGAGCUCCGAAGACAGUGUCAGGCAGGCAGUUUGUCUGGGGCGGAACAUCUGUCAAAAGGCAACGCAGGUGUCCAAGGCCGGCUCGGCCGGGACGGAAACCUGGCUUAGAGCAAAGGGGCAAAAGCCGGCUCGAUCUCGUUCUUCAGUAAGGAAGGGGACCUCGAAAGAGGGGCCCAUCGAUCCUUUCGAUGCGUGAGAGUCUCACGCGAGAGGUGUCAGAAAAGUUACCGGAGGGAUAACUGGCUUGUGGCGGCCAAGCGUUCAUAGCGACGUCGCUUAUUGAUUCUUCGAUGUCGGCUCUUCCUAUCAUUGCGAAGCAGAAUUCGCAAAGCGUUGGAUUGUUCACCCACUAACAGGUAACGUGAGCUGGGUUUAGACCGUCGUGAGACAGGUUAGUUUUACCCUCAUGAAGACGGGUCGUCGCGACGGUAAAAUCUGCCCAGUACGAGAGGAACCGUAGGUUCGGACAUUUGGUACUGCGCUCGGUGGUGCCGCCGGUGGCGCGAAGCUACCAUCCGCUCGGAUAACGGCUGAACGCCUCUAAGUCGGAAGCCGUCCCGAGAACGGUGAGGAUAUCAUUGUGUGCCCCUCGCGUCGAACGGCAGCUCUAGCCCCUCGAUGUUCCCCCUCGGCCCGCCGUCGGGGAGCGCGAGCGGGCGAAAGUGGCCCCUUCGCACGCCCGAGACCUCCGGGACCCUCCGUAGACUCCGAGGGUCCUGCUCCUGCGAGCCUGCCUCCGGGCAGACGAGUGAUGUGAGUGGGCGUAGAGUCGUCUGCAGACGACGUUCUUGCUGGACGGGGUGUCGUAAGUAGCAGAGCACCCACCAUAGUGCGAUCUACUGAGACUCAUCCC